rnacentral:tRNA from 1 species
GGUCCCAUGGCUUAGAUGGCAAAGCGGCUGCCUAGUAAGCAGGAGAUCAUGAUUUCGAGUCUCAUUGGGACCU